AUUGAACGCUGGCGGCAGGCUUAACACAUGCAAGUCGAGCGGAGAGAGGUAGCUUGCUACUGAUCUUAGCGGCGGACGGGUGAGUAAUGCUUAGGAAUCUGCCUAUUAGUGGGGGACAACAUUUCGAAAGGAAUGCUAAUACCGCAUACGUCCUACGGGAGAAAGCAGGGGAUCUUCGGACCUUGCGCUAAUAGAUGAGCCUAAGUCGGAUUAGCUAGUUGGUGGGGUAAAGGCCUACCAAGGCGACGAUUUGUAGCGGGUCUGAGAGGAUGAUCCGCCACACUGGGACUGAGACACGGCCCAGACUCCUACGGGAGGCAGCAGUGGGGAAUAUUGGACAAUGGGCGCAAGCCUGAUCCAGCCAUGCCGCGUGUGUGAAGAAGGCCUUAUGGUUGUAAAGCACUUUAAGCGAGGAGGAGGCUACUUUAGUUAAUACCUAGAGAUAGUGAACGUUACUCGCAGAAUAAGCACCGGCUAACUCUGUGCCAGCCGCCGCCGUAA
rnacentral:rRNA from 1 species